rnacentral:rRNA from 1 species
CACCCAGACUCCUACGGGAGGCAGCAGUGAGGAAUAUUGGUCAAUGGGCGCGAGCCUGAACCAACCAAGUCGCGUGAGGGAAGACGGCCCUACGGGUUGUAAACCUCUUUUGCCGGGGAGCAACGGGCGCCACGUGUGGCGCCACUGAGAGUACCCGGAGAAAAAGCAUCGGCUAACUCCGUGCCAGCAGCCGCGGUAAUACGGAGGAUGCGAGCGUUAUCCGGAUUUAUUGGGUUUAAAGGGUGCGUAGGCGGAAUGCCAAGUCAGCGGUAAAAUCGCGGGGCUCAACCUCGCUCCGCCGUUGAAACUGGCGUUCUUGAGUGGGCGAGAAGUAUGCGGAAUGCGUGGUGUAGCGGUGAAAUGCAUAGAUAUCGCGCAGAACUCCGAUUGCGAAGGCAGCGUACCGGCGCCGGACUGACGCUGAGGCACGAAAGCGUGGGUAUCGAACAGGAUUAGAUCCCCGGGUA